rnacentral:rRNA from 1 species
AAACUAACAAGGAUUCCCCUAGUAACGGCGAGUGAAGCGGGAAGAGCUCAACAUUGAAAUCUGGCCUUUGGUCCGAGUUGUAAUCUAGAGAAGCGUUUUCGGUGCUGAACCGUGUCCAAGUCCCUUGGAACAGGGUAUCAAAGAGGGUGACAAUCCCGUACUUGACAUGGCGCUCAGUACUUUGUGAUACGUUUUCGACGAGUCGAGUUGUUUGGGAAUGCAGCUCUAAAUGGGUGGUAUACUCCAUCUAAGGCUAAAUAUUGGCGAGAGACCGAUAGCGAACAAGUACCGUAAGGGAAAGAUGAAAAGCACUUUGGAAAGAGAGUUAAACAGUAUGUGAAAUUGUUGAAAGGGAAACGAUUAAAGUCAGUCGUGCUUGCUGGGCUCAGCUCGAGAGAGUGUAUUGCCAGUAAGCGGGUCAACAUCAGUUGGGUCUGGUGGAUAAGGUGCAAGGAAAGUGGCUCUGUUGAGAGUGUUAUAGCCUUGUAUGAUGCACUAGACGUGACUGAGGGAUGCAGCUUGCCGAUAUCGGCCGGGGGAAACCCACGUGCAAGCUUUGGAUGUUGACAGAAUGGCUUUAAACGAC